UUUGGAGAUGGCUUUCCUGUAGAGCAUUGCGCUAACAACGCAAAGGUUGUGGGUUCAAAUCCCAAGGAAAA